rnacentral:rRNA from 1 species
UACGGAGGGGGCAAGCGUUGUCCGGACUUACUGGGCGUAAAGGGUGCGUAGGCGGUUGCAUGCGUCCGCGCUGAAAUCCCGAGGCUCAACCUCGGGGCGCGUGCGGAUACGAUGCGACUUGAGGCUCGGAGAGGGUGGGAGAACUCCUGGUGUAGUGGUGAAAUGCGUAGAUAUCGGGAGGAACACCAGUGGCGAAGGCGACUUCCUGGCCUGUCCUUGACGCUGAGGCGCGAAAGCUAGGGGAGCAAACGGG